AAUUCUAAGCCCAGCAAAACUCUUUUCUGGCUCUCUAGUAAAAAAUUAACAAAGAAAAACUCUUUUUCUGGUUGAAAACUCCUUUGUUUUCCUGACGAAUCUCUCUCAAGCGUCCGCGCACAUUGAUCAAUCUCUUUUGAAUGGCCUCACCGUCCGACGCCUCCAACCAGGAGGCUGUUGUGAGGAAGCAAAGCAAAGGAUCCCCGAUUAAGUUCUUGGUCCCUCUUAUAUACGCCCCUGUUCUUCCUCUCAUUCGGCUCUCGUUGAGGAGGAACCCGGUGGUGAGGGAUCGUUUGUUUACCCUCGUCUUGGCUGGGGCUUUCGCUCAUGGGUUUUACUUGGUCACGGACAUUUAUGACGCUGAAAGCAAGUGAUGCAAGGAGCUGGAAGACAGAGUAAAAUUGAGUCCUCACGUGUCUUUAAUGUUGGUCAAUCAAUUCUUACACACCCUGGUGCAUGUUAGCACCGGAAAUUUUUGCAGGACCAUAUUUUAAGUAAUGUUGUACUCCCAUUUUUUGGUUGUGAUAGGGGGUGUUGGGAAUUGGGGCCCAAUCCUGUAAUUGCCUCUUGCUUACAUCCAAUCAUGAUAUAGAGACUUGCUAAUGUUUUGAAUAAAUGACCAGCUCUUAUCGAUUCUUCAGGUUUAA